UCAUUAAAACAAGUUCUGACAUUUCUGACAAACAAGUUUAGAAUUUAGAGGGAAUAACACUGUCUACACCUUUCGGACGAAUUCUACUAAAAAUAUAGUGUCACAAUAAGAAUAUUUGAUUAAAGCCUAUAUUCAAGAAAAGCAAUGCUUUCUAAAAAGAUGUUUUUCAAAACCGUAUUGUGGCAUGUUCAUUUGAUGCAAAAAAUUGCAGCUUUCAAAAUAAUGGUUAUAUGUAUAGCCAAGAUAAUCCAGAGGAAAACAGUUCAAACACAUCUUUUAAUCCGAAUAAUGGUUUUGGUUAUAUGUAUGGUAAUAAAAGUCAAUUGAUUUUGAAUGUUAGCGGAAGCUUAUAUACUGAUAUAAAAAAUUUUGAUAUCUUUGUAAGUAUGGCAUAUUACUCUGAAGAUGAAAAAUUAACUGAUAUUCGUGUUACUGAUAGUCAAACUCAUAUAUAUAAAAGUUCUUAUGAAGAUGUAAAAUAUUUAUUCUUAAAUGAUUGGGCUGUACUAAAUGCAAGAUACACCCUAAACGAGUCUGAUUUCAUUCUCUAUAUUACUGGAUUUAAUAAAGUAGAUGAUGUAUGCAUUUACCAAGUCUGUAAAAAUGGCUACAUAUUCAACGAAACAUUAAGUCAAUGUGAAGUUACUGAGGCAGCACCAACAUCUGAACCUUCAAGUAACUAUUCCUCAACGAUUUCAAGUUUUGAAUUCACUUCUACAACUCCAUCUACUGUUGCAUCUGUAUCUACUAUUACAUCUGCAUCUACUAUUACAGCUGGAUUUAAUACAACUGAUUCUACAACUUUUAAAUCUGGAAAUAUAUUUACUGAACUUAUAACUGAAGAUACCAUAUCUACAGAUGCAUCUACUGAAUUUAGUUCUGCAAGUCCUGAGUCCACAAUUUCAAGUUUUGAAUUUGCUAAUACAUCUGCAUCUACUAUUACAACUGCAUCUACUGUUACAACUGCAUCUACUGUUACAACUGUAUCUGAUACAACUGAUUCUACUACUAAAAGUCCUAUAUCUUCAAAUCCAUUUACUGAACAUAUAACUAAAGAUACCAUAUCUACAGAUACAUCUACUGAAUUUAAUUCUGCAAGUCCUGAGUCCACAAUUUCAAGUUUUGAAUUUGCCAAUACAUCUGCAUCUACUAUUACAACUGCAUCUACUGUUACAAUUGUAUCUGAUACAACUGAUUCUACUACUACAAGUCCUAUAUCUUCAAAUAUAUUUACUGAACAUAUAACUGAAGAUUCCAUAUCUACAGAUACAUCUACUGAAUUUAAUUCUGCAAGUCCUGAGUCCAUAAUUUCAAGUUUUGAAUUUGCCAAUACAUCUGCAUCUACUAUUACAACUGCAUCUACUGUUACAACUGUAUCUGAUACAACUGAUUCUACUACUACAAGUCCUAUAUCUUCAAAUAUAUUUACUGAACAUAUAACUGAAGCUACCAUAUCUACAGAUACAUCUACUGAAUUUAAUUCUGCAAGUCCUGAGUUCACAAUUUCAAGUUUUGAAUUUGCCAAUACAUCUGCAUCUACUAUUACAACUGCAUCUACUGUUACAACUGUAUCUGAUACAACUGAUUCUACUACUACAAGUCCUAUAUCUUCAAAUAUAUUUACUGAACAUUUAACUGAAGCUACCAUACCUACAGAUACAUCUACUGAAUUUAAUUCUGCAAGUCCUGAGUCCAUAAUUUCAAGUUUUGAAUUUGCCAAUACAUCUGUAUAUACUAUUACUGCAUCUACAGUUGUAACAAUUGCAUUUAAUGUUACAACUGUAUCUGAUACAACUGAUUAUACUACUACUCCUUUAUAUUCAAAUAUAUUUACUGAGCAUAUAACUGAAGCUACCAAAUCUACAGGUGCAUCUACUGAGUCUAAUUCUGCAACUCCAGAUUCUGCAGUUUCAACUUAUGAAACUAUUGAAUCUAUAGUUUUUAAAUCUACAGCAACACCUACUACAUCUACAUUUGUGUCUACUGAGACUAGCUCAGAAAGUCUUGAAUCUACAAAUUCAGUUUUUAAAUUUAUCACUAUAACUGCAUCAACUAUUACAACUGAAUCUUCUACAACUGAAUCUAUUACUGUUCCUAAAUCUGCAAACAUAUUUACUGAAUAUAUGACUGGAACUACCAAUUCUGGAUACACAUCUGCUGGAUAUAUGACUGGAACUACCAAUUCUGCAUACACAUCUGCUGAAUAUAUGAUUGGAACUAUCAAUUCUGCAUACACAUCUGCUGAAUAUAUGACUGGAACUACCAAUUCUGCAUACACAUCUGCUGAAUAUAUGACUGGAACUAUCAAUUCUGCAUACACUUCUGCUCAAUAUAUGACUGGAACUACCGAUUCUGCAUACACAUCUUCUGAAUAUAUGACUGGAACUACCAGUUCUGCAUACACAUCUGCUGAAUAUAUGAUUGGAACUACUGAUUCUGCAUACACAUCUGCUGAAUAUAUGACUGGAACUACUAAUUCUGCAUACACAUCUGCUGAAUAUAUGAUUGGAACUACUGAUUCUGCAUACACAUCUGCUGAAUAUAUGACUGGAACUACCAAUUCUGCAUACACAUCUGCUGAAUAUAUGACUGGAAUUACCAACUCUGCAUACACGUUGGCUGAAUAUAUGACUGGAACUGCCAAUUCUGCAUACAUAUCUGCUGAAUAUAUGUCUGGAACUACCACUUAUGCAUACAUAUCUGCUGAAUAUAUGACUGGAACUACCAAUUCUGCAUACACGUCUGCUGAAUAUAUGUUUGGAACUAGCAAUUCUGCAUACUUAUCUGCUGAAUAUAUGACUGAAAGUACCAAUUCUGCAUACACAUCUGCUGAAUCUUUUUUUACAAUGUCUGUAUUGACAGCUGCACCUAAUGAGUCUGCAACUUUAGAUUUUGGAUCAGCACCUACUGGUUUCCCAAUUCCUUUUUCUAAUAUUUCAAUUUUAAAAUCUACUAAUAAAGCUCUUGAGUAUACAACUUCUAUAGUAACAGCUACGGAAUCUAGAAUUGUAUCUACUGAAUAUUCAGCUAUAGCUUUUCAAACAUCAGCUACUGAUUCUAUAACACCAAGUUUGCAAAUCAUUUCUACAUCUACAGGACAUUUUUCAACAACAUUUGCACCCAAAAAAACACUUGUAUCUUCUGCAACUUUGUCUGCAACUUUAUCUGCAACUUUGUCUGCAAUUGUUGAAUUUACACCAACAACUAGUAAAUUUGCAACUAUAAUUCAGGAAUCAACAACUAAACCUGCACAAACUACUGCUCAAACACCUGCUCAAACCCCACAAGCUAUUAGUUCUUUUAUUUUGAAUUCAACUUUAGAAUUUACAACUUCAUCUUUAAAAUUUUUGGAAAAUAGAACUAUUAACCAAACUUUUAUAAUGUCAUCAUCAUCACCUGCAAUCAAUCUAACUGAAGUUUCAACAACUGCAAAAAUUUCCCAGUCAAGUCAAUCAGCAACUGAAAUAAUAAAAGCUAUAACAACUGAGGCUACAACAACUAAGGCUACAAAAACUGAGAUUACAACAACUCAGGCUACAACAAUUCAGGCUACAACAACUCAGGCUACAACAACUCAGGCUACAACAACUCAGGCUACAACAACUCAGACUACAACAACUCAGGCUACAACAACUCAGGCUACAACAACUCAGGCUACAACAACUCAGGCUACAACAACUCAGGCUACAACAACUCAGGCUACAACAACUCAGGCUACAACAACUCAGGCUACAUUGACUCAAACUACAACAACUCAACCUACAUCAACGCAAACUACAACAACUCAGGCUACACCGACAGCUUACAAGGUGAACUCUACAUCUUUUGUAAUAGUUAUUCCAAACAACCUAAUAUCUAACAGUUUAAUGAAAACAUUUUAUAUCAUUUUGGUAAAGCUACUAUCUGACUCUUUACCUGCAAGAAAUCCAGAAUCAUACUCAUGGGAUGAAAUAAGUAACCACACAGAUGGCCUGUAUUUAGUAGGGAUUCUUGAUGCAAAUAGUAAGAUCAAAAACUUUACAGUGGGUGGAGGAUCUAAUCGUAAACGAAGAGACUCUAUUUUGGUUCCAUCAAAUCCUCCCCUGGAAAAGGGAGUUUCAUACUCAACUUUUAUCAAAGGUAUAACUGUUAAUAACACCACAGUAACAACAUCAUACAGCGAUAUUGUGAUAGAUCCUAUAGAUAAACCAUCACAGCCUCCAAAUAUUUGUGGAUCAUUUCAAUGCAGCCCAUAUGCAGAUUGUGUUGUUGAAAAUAAUGUGUUUGUUUGUAAAUGCCAAAAAGGUUUCAAUUGCGGAGAUAAAUGUAUUACACCAAAUUUGUGUUUAAAUAACUCUAAGUGUUCAGUUGUGGAAGGCCAUGAAACCUGUAUUUGUAACAAGGGGUUUAUUGGUGACGGCUUAUUUGGUUGUAAAGAUCCAUGUGCAGUAGCCCAAUGCAACUCAUAUGCAGAUUGUGUCGUUAAUAAUAGUUUGCCUAUUUGUAUAUGCAGAGCAGGCUUUAUUUGUGGAGAUAAAUGUAUUACAGAAGGAUUAUGUUCAAGCAAUGCUAAAUGUUCGAUUGUGGAUGGUUAUGAAAAAUGUAUUUGUGGUCCAGGGCUUGCUGGUGAUGGUCUGAGUAAACCUGGAAGUAUUGGUUGCAAAGAUCAUUGUUACAAAAUCAAAUGUUGAAAGUGCUGCUUUUAAUUUAAGUCAGAUUGUACAAAGAGGAAACCUUACUGCAAAAAAUUUAGAAUUGAUUUCCAAUAUUAUUUCCAAAGUUGUUAAUGCAAACUCUUCUUCAGAAUCAGUCAUCAAUGAUGUUUUGACAACUGUUGAUACAUUAUUAAGCACAAGUAUUGAUUUAAUUACUGCAAAUAAGAAUUUAAAUUUGUUUUUGAAUUUUAUAACCUACUUGGAUGCUUUGGCAAAGCAGCAGACAGAAAAUAUAACAAUAUCAGGAAAAAAUUUAGCAUUGGCAUCGUAUACUAUUGAAACAAAC
rnacentral:misc_RNA from 1 species